rnacentral:lncRNA from 1 species
UAAUAAAGAUAAAAUUAUAAUUUGAAACUAUUUACUUCCAAUCCAAGAGAAAGUAAACACAUAAAUUAGAUUUUGAUCUUCAUUCCAGUGUAAGUAAAUAACUUACUCCCACUCCCACUCCAUACUUUCAAUCCUAGGAUUCUCACUUUUCAGGAUUUUCACUCUAAUCCAAAAAGUAAACGCUACCAUAAAAGACAAAAGAAAUAUAUAUAGACUCCCAACGCGGCUGGACAGUUAUAAUUAGAUUGAGCUAGCCAUAAAAACAUUCCAUAAUUUAUCUUAUCCCUGCUAAUUAUACAUAGGGAUGGCAUCUCUUUUGGGACGGGAUUAUGACAUAUUUUUGUCCCAUAAAAAAAUUAGGGACGGGAGUGGGAUAUUUUUUUAUCCCAAUUACAUAUGCGGGACGGGAGUGAAAUUGACAAAUUCCGUCCCAUCCCGUCUCAUUACCGAUUAAGAAUUAAAAAUUUUCCAAUUGGGAUGGGAUCCCGCAGGAUCCCAUCUCUUUUGGGACGGGAUUGGGACAUACUUUUGUCCCAAAAAAAAUAUAGGGACGAGAUUAAGACAUUUUUUCAUCCCAUUUACAUAUACAGGAUCCCAUCCCAUCCCGUUUCAUUGCCAACCCUAAUUAUACAUUUCUUUCCAAGUCAAAAAAGGAAAUCCAAGGUGCUGGAUCUUAGGCUAUAGAUAUAUUUGCUCACUCCAGAGGUAAAGGCUGGGUUGGCUGCAGCAAUCAAUGUUUCUUAAGCAAUCACUAAGCUUGCAUCAGUAUUGUAUUCCUAUACUAGAAAAGGGAAACUGAAGUAUGUAUAGGUCAUUAAGGUCUUCAUGUACGAAACUGCUCAAUUUCCAUAAUUGCCAAGUUGAUACGGUUCAAAUGUUUUAGUGGAAAUUUUAGAUGAUUAUCGGUUUUUGAGAAGCUCUAACUGCUGGAAAUCUGCAAACUCAUUAUGUUGGUCAGUAAUUUUGGUUUACAUUUUCUUGUCUAGUAUGUAUCUAUUCAUUAUAUUUUCCUUAUUUGGGGAUGGCUUUAGUUGAUGCUAAUCUAGGUUUUCAACAUAUGUCAAUGCUCAUGACGAGCUAUUUAUAUAUCUUAUUAAAUAGUUGUUGAGCAGCAUUUAACUGGCUUUUGCUGUAUUUGAACACUAAGAGCCUGCUUGAGAUUAUUU